rnacentral:rRNA from 1 species
UACGUAGGGUGCAAGCGUUGUCCGGAAUUAUUGGGCGCAAAGAGCUCGUAGGCGGUUUGUCGCGUCGAAUGUGAAAACCCGGGGCUCAACCCCGGGCCUGCAUUCGAUACGGGCAGACUAGAGUUCGGUAGGGGAGUCUGGAAUUCCUGGUGUAGCGGUGAAAUGCGCAGAUAUCAGGAGGAACACCGGUGGCGAAGGCGGGUCUCUGGGCCGAAAUUGACGCUGAGGAGCGAAAGCGUGGGGAGCAAACAGG